UUACUUCUUUGAAAACGAGGAGGUGCGGGUCCCCGAGCGCCCGGUGCGGCGGCCGCAGCGCUGGCCAGGCCUGCGGGCCUUAGCGCGCCACCGGGCAGCACCCGCACGGCCGCAAACCCCUCGCCUCGGAACGGCAACAUGAGGAACAGAAGCCCAGUACACAGCCCAACUUUUUUUUUUUUUUUUCCCCCUAAAUAAACGCAGGAAGGUUUUCUCCUUGGAGAUGUGAAAGGUGAAGCCAAGAACAGCAUUACUGACUCACAGAUGGAUGAUGUUGAAGUCGUUUAUACAAUCGUUUAAUUCUGAUCAUAGUGUACAGAAUAUACAUCUUGAACUGAUGAACCCAGAGUAAUCUUACCUCUCUUUCCAGAUAUACAGAAGCAUAUUCCAUGCUACCAGCUGUUCAGGUAAGAAUCUCAAGUAAACAGAUAUUAAAAAAGUUAAAAUUAAUCCUAAACUUGAACUCCUCAAGAUUAAAUUUACAUUACUGAGAAAGCCACCCAGCUGUAACUACAGUGGCCAUAUCAACCCCUUGCAAUUGCAGACGCUCGAUGCUUUAUGUUGUGGCUGGUUUGGUUCUCUCCUGCUCUGGUGCUUGUCUGUGCAUACAGAGAUAAGGCAUACUGCACCUUCUGGUGAGCUAUGAUACCAUAUAAACUACAGCAUACUGAAAAAAACCCCAUUGCUUUUCCAAAAGCAUUCUUCCUAAACCCUCACCCUCAAAAAAAGAAAA